GCCGAAGUGGUGGAACUGGUAGACGCGCUGCGUUCAGGGCGCAGUGGGCGCAAGCCCGUGGGGGUUCGACUCCCCCCUUCGGCA
rnacentral:tRNA from 1 species